AUGUAUACUCCGACUACUCUCCAAGCCUCAAGGGGACUUAUGACGAGACCUCAACUAUACGCCCUUGGACACAAGGUGAACUCGCUCCUCUCCGAACCUUCACUUCCCGCAUGUGAGACAUGGUUACUACCUCAUAUAUAUAUGCUAUGCAUGACCAGGAACAAGGAGGAAGACCAUGGACAAGACGGCGAGGACACCAAGUACAAGGACCAAGAGAAGAAGCUGCCCGAAGCUACAGCGGCCGGACGUCCGACCAGGACCGGACGUCCGACGACUCCCAGGCUCCGGACGACCGGCCCCCUCCGGACGACCGUGCCAGCGACCACCGAACCGAAUCUGCGGACAUCCGAAGAACUCCGGACGUCCGGGACCCCGCGAGCCUCCGGACGACCGGCCCCUCCGGACGUCCGACCGAAGCGCACCCGAGCCGAAUCUACGGAAGUCCGAAGAGCACCGGACGUCCGGACCUUCCCGAGCCUCCGGACGACCGGAACCCUCCGGACGUCCUACGCCUGUCUGCGCACAGUGUGUUGGGCCGCAGCCCAUGUACCCCUUCACUUACCCCUUCGUGGCCCUAGACUAUAUAUACUCCUUCACCUCCUCCUAGUUAGAUUUAGCGUUGAUUUAGCUCAAGUUAGAGAUAGAGCUUCGCUCAUCCAUCGGAUCUCCUCCUCGUGA
rnacentral:rRNA from 1 species